rnacentral:lncRNA from 1 species
AUGCAGGACUGCUCAAAAUGUUUCAGCAUUGUGCAUGGUGAGGAAAAUCUUGGGAAAAUUCUCAUCUUCUGCCUCCUCUUUGUACUUGAAAUUUUAAAGAUGGUUUUCACUCCUAGAAAACUUAUUUUGAUGGCCCAAAAUGAUUUUGUGUUUGUCAUCUCCUGCCAGAUCCUAGAGAAAUCAGUUCUGAGAGGGGCCAUGUUUAGUAGGGUGCAUAUUCCUGCUGACCAUGCAGAAGAACCCAACCUUGUCUUCCAUGCACCAGUAUUGUCUGUCUAGGCUGUGAAUGCAUGGGCCUGCAUAGCUGCCUGAAUCUGGGGAGGAGCGCUUUUCAUAUCUAGCUCAUUGAGUUUAAGUAGCAUGACAUAUUAUCUUGAAUGAAUAUGCCCUUGAGUCUAGAGAAACAAAGCAAAGAAUCUGUCUCUGUUAGCAACAAGAGACUCUCUCACACGGAAUUUCCCCACAGGAGGAAAAAGGUUAGAAACAGUGAGAUACACCCAUCCAUGGGUCUUGGCUUGAAGAGUCUGUCUCUGGUAACUGACAUAUGUCUGUGAAGAACUACAUUCACUUCAUUUAUGUUUAAUCGUCUAAUCUAAGAUACUUUCAUUGUCACUUACAUUCACUCAGUUUCUUCCUUACCUUGAAGGCUGGCUUAGAGGGAAGUUCUUAUCUGUCUUAGUGACUUCUUAGGCCACUCCCUACGUUGUUCCCUUUCCUUCUUCCUCUGUCUACUCCUCCCUUAUCAGGAAAUAUGGGGUACUAAAAAUGGCGGGAACCUGGAAGACCUGAUACUCAAACAUUGGCUCAACAACUCACUGCCUAUCUAGCUCUGAUCUUAGAUGAGUUACCCUGUCAUCCAGCUGUUUCUAUAGCUCCAACCAAAUACCAGGCCUCCUGUGGGCAGCUUCAUGGGUACACACAUUAGGGGAAAAAGUGUCCUCCUAGCCAGCAUGACCAGUUGAAUCAACCCUAGCAACUCUUAGAAUGAUAGCAUGUCCACGUAUCCCAUCAGUUAUUUAAUAGAAUCAAUUUUAUUCAUCUGUAAAAUGGGAAAAUAUUUUCCAGGAAGGGGAAAGUGCCUGCUUCAAUACUCCUGAGUUUCCAUCUGUUCUUUCUCUUUCUCCUUCUCCUCAAGGCUUAUGCUUCUAUUAAAAUACUUAGUA